AAUCAACGCUGGCGGCGCGCCUAACACAUGCAAGUCGAACGAGAAAGUGGAGCAAUCCAUGAGUAAAGUGGCGUGCGGGUGAGUAACACGUGGAUAAUCUGCCCUUUAGUGGGGAAUACCGUUGGGAAACCGACGACAAUACCGCAUAAUCUCGAGAGAGGAAAGCAGCAAUGCGCUGAAGGAGGAGUCCGCGGCCGAUUAGCUAGUUGGUAAGGUAAUGGCUUACCAAGGCUGUGAUCGGUAGCCGGCCUGAGAGGGCACACGGCCACACUGGCACUGAAACACGGGCCAGACUCCUACGGGAGGCAGCAGUGGGGAAUCUUGCACAAUGGGGGAAACCCUGAUGCAGCGACGCCGCGUGAGCGAUGAAGCCCUUCGGGGUGUAAAGCUCUUUCGGCAGGGACGAUAAUGACGGUACCUGCAGAAGCAGCUGCGGCUAACUACGUGCCAGCAGCCGCGGUAAUACGUAGGCAGCAAGCGUUGUUCGGAGUUACUGGGCGUAAAGGGUGCGUAGGCGGCUCUAUAAGUAUGGUGUGAAAUCUCCCGGCUUAACUGGGAGGGUGCGCUAUAGACUGUGGGGCUAGAGUGUGGGAGAGGAAAGUGGAAUUCCUGGUGUAGCGGUGAAAUGCGUAGAUAUCAGGAGGAACACCGGUGGUGUAAACGGCUUUCUGGACCAUAACUGACGCUGAGGCACGAAAGCGUGGGUAGCAAACAGGAUUAGAUACCCUGGUAGUCCACGCCCUAAGCGAUGCAUAUUUGGUGUGGGUCAUUCAGUUGAUCCGUGCCGGAGCUAACGCGUUAAAUAUGCCGCCUGGGGAGUACAGUCGCAAGGCUG
rnacentral:rRNA from 1 species